rnacentral:rRNA from 1 species
UACGGAGGGUGCGAGCGUUGUUCGGAAUCACUGGGCGUAAAGCGCGUGUAGGCGGCUUCUUAAGUUUGGUGUGAAAGCCCGGGGCUCACCCCCGGAAGUGCACUGGAUACUGGGAAGCUAGAGUACCGGAGAGGAGGGUGGAAUUCCUGGUGUAGCGGUGAAAUGCGUAGAUAUCAGGAGGAACACCGGUGGCGAAGGCGGCCCUCUGGACGGCUACUGACGCUGAGACGCGAAAGCGUGGGGAGCAAACAGG